rnacentral:rRNA from 1 species
GACGAACGCUGGCGGCGUGCUUAACACAUGCAAGUCGAACGGAAAGGCCCUGCUUUUGUGGGGUGCUCGAGUGGCGAACGGGUGAGUAACACGUGGAUAACCUGCCUAUGAGACUGGGAUAACUUCGGGAAACCGGAGCUAAUACCGGAUAAUAUAUUGAACCGCAUGGUUGAGUAGUGAAAGACGGGGUUGUUGGCACUUAUCGAUGGGUCCGCGCCGUAUUAGCUAGUUGGUAAGGUAACGGCUUACCAAGGCAACGAUGCGUAGCCGACCUGAGAGGGUGAUCGGCCACACUGGAACUGAGACACGGUCCAGACUCCUACGGGAGGCAGCAGUAGGGAAUCUUCCGCAAUGGGCGAAAGCUUGACGGAGCAACGCCGCGUGAGUGAUGAAGGUCUUCGGAUCGUAAAACUCUGUUAUUAGGGAAGAACAAAUGUGUAAGUAACUAUGCACGUCUUGACGGUACCUAAUCAGAAAGCCACGGCUAACUACGUG